rnacentral:rRNA from 1 species
GAUGAACGCUAGCGGCAGGCUUAAUACAUGCAAGUCGAGGGACAGCACAGGUAGCAAUACUGGGUGGUAACCGGCAAACGGGUGCGGAACACGUACACAACCUUCCUUUAAGUGGGGGAUAGCCCAGAGAAAUUUGGAUUAAUACCCCGUAAUAUAGUUGAAUGGCAUCAUUUGAUUAUUAUAGCUACGGCGCUUAAUGAUGGGUGUGCGGCUGAUUAGAUAGUUGGCGGGGUAACGGCCCACCAAGUCUACGGUCAGUAGCUGAUGUGAGAGCAUGAUCAGCCACACGGGCACUGAGAAACGGGCCCGACUCCUACGGGAGGCAGCAGUAAGGAAUAUUGGUCAAUGGACGCAAGUCUGAACCAGCCAUGCCGCGUGAAGGAUUAGGGUCCUCUGGAUUGUAAACUUCUUUUAUUUGGGACGAAAAAGGGCCUUUCCAGGUCAACUGACGGUACCAGAUGAAUAAGCACCGGCUAACUCCGUGCCAGCCGCCGCCGUAACAC